UACGUAGGUGGCAAGCGUUGUCCGGAAUCACUGGGCGUAAAGGGCGCGUAGGUGGCCUGAUAAGUAGGGGGUGAAAUCCUGGGGCUUAACCUCAGGGCUGCCUUCUAGACUGUCCGGCUCGAGCACAGUAGAGGCAGGUGGAAUUCCCGGUGUAGCGGUGGAAUGCGUAGAGAUCGGGAAGAACAUCGGUGGCGAAGGCGGCCUGCUGGGCUGUUGCUGACACUGAGGCGCGACAGCGUGGGGAGCAAACAGG
rnacentral:rRNA from 1 species